UCGCUUGUAUGGUUUUAUGUGUGCGUGUGUGUGUUCAAUAAGAAGAAUGAAAAACGUCAGCUAAAGCAAAUGCACCUGGAAUGUUUAUCGACUCUAAAUUUCGUAUUGGUAUCUAAUACGGAUUUCCAAUUGGAAUUACCUCGUCAAAGUAAAUGGGAAUGAAUGAAAAUGUUAAUGUUAUUUAACAUUUGAGUGAGCUGAACAACAGAAGCAGAAGAGUACAAAAAUGUUCAUCGAGAAACAGAAAGAUAAUGUGUGGAAAUUCUAAAUCGGAAGAAAACAGAGUUUCUAUAAAUACAUAAAGCAAAGAACAACUAAAUAAUACAACAUGAGCAAUCACUUUUGAUAAUAAUAAUAAUAUUAAUAGUGCUUGACACACAA